GGGUUUAUGACGAGAACUUUAUAUUGUCUUGAAGAGAAGUGAUGACAUAAAAAUCAUGCUCAGUGAGGUUAUGCUGAAGCCC
rnacentral:snoRNA from 1 species